GUGCUCGCUUUAGCAGCACAUAUACUAAAAAUGGGAACGAUACAGAGAAGAUUAGCAUGGCACCUGCGCAAGGAUGACAGGCAAAUUCAUGAAGCGUUCUGCAUAAAA
rnacentral:snRNA from 1 species